rnacentral:rRNA from 1 species
GAUUCCCCUAGUAACUGCGAGUGAAGCGGGAAAAGCUCAAAUUUAAAAUCUGGCGGUCCUUGGCCGUCCGAGUUGUAAUCUAGAGAAGUGUUACCCGCGUCGGACCGUGUACAAGUCUCCUGGAAUGGAGCGUCAUAGAGGGUGAGAAUCCCGUCUUUGACACGGACUACCGAGGCUUUGUGGUGCGCUCUCAAAGAGUCGAGUUGUUUGGGAAUGCAGCUCAAAAUGGGUGGUAAAUUCCAUCUAAAGCUAAAUAUUGGCGAGAGACCGAUAGCGAACAAGUACCGUGAGGGAAAGAUGAAAAGAACUUUGGAAAGAGAGUUAAACAGUACGUGAAAUUGCUGAAAGGGAAACGCUUGAAGUCAGUCGCGUCGUCCGGGAAUCAGCCUUCCUUCUGGUUGGUGUACUUCCUGGUCGACGGGCCAGCAUCAGUUUUGACCGGUGGAGAAAGUUCGAGGGAAUGUGGCACUCCGGGUGUGUUAUAGCCCUCGUUCGUAUACAUCGGUUGGGACUGAGGAACUCAGCACGCCGCAAGGCCGGGAUUCGUCCACGUUCGUGCUUAGGAUGCUGGCAUAAUGGCUUUAAUCGACCCGUCUUGAAACACGGACCAAGGAGUCUAACAUGCCUGCGAGUGUUUGGGUGGAAAACCCGAGCGNGUAAUGAAAGUGAAAGUUGAGAUCCCUGUCAUGGGGAGCAUCGACGCCCGGACCUGACGUUCUCUGACGGUUCUGCGGUAGAGCAUGUAUGUUGGGACCCGAAAGAUGGUGAACUAUGCCUGAAUAGGGUGAAGCCAGAGGAAACUCUGGUGGAGGCUCGUAGC